rnacentral:rRNA from 1 species
UACGUAGGGUGCAAGCGUUGUCCGGAAUUAUUGGGCGUAAAGAGCUCGUAGGCGGUUUGUCGCGUCUGCUGUGAAAACUCAGGGCUUAACCCUGAGCCUGCAGUGGGUACGGGCAGACUAGAGUGUGGUAGGGGAGAUCGGAAUUCCUGGUGUAGCGGUGAAAUGCGCAGAUAUCAGGAGGACACCGGUGGCGAAGGCGGAUCUCUGGGCCACUACUGACGCUGAGAAGCGAAAGCGUGGGGAGCGAACAGG